rnacentral:lncRNA from 1 species
CUCUGUGCUGUUGUAGUUGACGUAAUAAUGUACGAUGGAAUAUAGAAGCCUAUGACGUAAACGAACUCAAGAAAAGGUUCAGUGCGCUUCUUUUGGCUCAGUUGAGUUGAUGAUUUGCAAAGGACAGUCAUCUUCAUGUUCAAAUAAAUCACUUUGCGUGGAUAAAGAAGAAAUUCUGUGUCCAAUCUGAAGGGUGCCUGAAAGCACAAUGGAUAGAAAUCAUAAACCGUUGAGAAUAAUUCUUCUAAAAGCUGGGACCCUCCAAGCUAGUGCUGGAGAGCAAGUGCUCCAGAAAGAUGGCCAUUCCACUGGCCAUGAUGGACUAAGCCUGCCAGCCCUGGUAGGCUGCCCCCAGGACAGCCCUCGAAAGGCUGGGACCCUCCAAGCUAGUGCUGGAGAGCAAGUGCUCCAGACAGAUGUCCAUUCCACUGGCCAUGAUGGACUAAGCCUGCCAGCCCUGGUAGACUGCCCCCAGGACAGCCCUCGAAAGGCUGGGACCCUCCAAGCUAGUGCUGGAGAGCAAGUGCUCCAGACAGAUGUCCAUUCCACUGACCAUGAUGGACUAAGCCUGCCAGCCCUGGUAGACUGCCCCCAGGACAGCCCUCGAAAGGCUGGGACCCUCCAAGCUAGUGCUGGAGAGCAAGUGCUCCAGACAGAUGUCCAUUCCACUGGCCAUGAUGGACUAAGCCUGCCAGCCCUGGUAGACUGCCCCCAGGACAGCCCUCGAAAGGCUGGGACCCUCCAAGCUAGUGCUGGAGAGCAAGUGCUCCAGACAGAUGUCCAUUCCACUGACCAUGAUGGACUAAGCCUGCCAGCCCUGGUAGACUGCCCCCAGGACAGCCCUCGAAAGGCUGGGACCCUCCAAGCUAGUGCUGGAGAGCAGGUGCUCCAGACAGACGUCCAUUCGGCUGGCCAUGGUGGACAUGAUGGGCCAGCCCUGGUAGACUGCCCCCAGGACAGCCCUCGAAAGAACCUUGUGCCGAAGCCCCCGCAAGGCCCCAGGCCCAGCCGAGAGGCCAAUAUAGCAAAGGCAGAAAAUAAAGCCAGAGAGGCUAUCAAGGCUAGAAGGGCUAGGGAGGCUAAGGCAGGGGGGGGGAAACUAAGCCACCAAGUAGUUGGUAUGUUGGCACUGCCUCAAACUCUUCUAUCUCGAACCAGUUACAGUGAGUAUUGAUCUCCACUUCCAAAAUACUUGGAUUUAUUGAUAGAAUUCUAAAACGAUAUAUGGUGGAAGGAUCCAUUAAUGUCUACUUUCUGUAGGUGUCCUGCCAGCUAUCAAGAAGGGCACUAAAGUUACUAAAAUGGAGACAACAGAACCCCUAUGUCCCUUGACACCUGAUGGGGAGAUAAUGAUCUCCUCUUCAUCUGUUGAUGACCUCCUGACCCUAAAGAGUGAUGUCAUGUCCGAGGCUAAGAGCGAUGAUGCCUCCCGUCCAAUUGAACCUGAGAUGUUCUCUCUAACAAACUUCCUGAAGUCUCACCCUAAGAGAAAGCUUAUCAGGAAAUUCCUCAAACAAAUGAACGUGACAAUAGGCGACCUGGACGAGAUCAUCGAGUGGGUGGUGUGUGUCUCCAAUGAGGUGUUCCUCCCAGUGAUGGCUCUGAUCCGGACCUCCAGUCCAGAGUCGUCCACCUCAUCCCGAUGGGGGUCAGGUGAGCUCCAGAUCAUCUCCAGGGAGUUCCACCAGCGGAGUUCUGAGCCGAAGGGAAGGCUCCUGGGUGGGCAGCCGCCCACUCCCCCUUCUGAGACCGACAAGGAGCUUCAGGGCGUAGCAGAUCUGUCUGUGAGUAACAUCCUGAAAAGGGCCCAGGAGGACCUCUUCUUUUCUGGUGAGGAUGACCUGGAGAACACCCAUCCAGGCAUCACUCUGACCGAAGAGAGCCUCUCCAGCAUCUUCUCAGAGUUGUUCAGGGACGCCUGUGAGAGUGCCCAGGAGGCCACCAGACAGAUCCACCACAUGAGGUCUGGAAGAGGCAACAACAGCCGGAAUGGGAGAUGCCCUGGGUUAUCACAGGGAUCGAGCAGGUCCAACAUGCUAGAUUUGGGAGAACUGGGGUCAGUGAGGAGGCCCAAGGGAAGCGACGUCCAUAAAGUCCUUAGCGAGGGGUCCCUCCCUGUCUUUGCCCUGCUUGGGGAGAGGCCAGGGGAAGUUGGGGAGACCAGCAGCCCUGCUGGGGAGAUGGACGCGACCCAGACUGCCAGCACUCCCAGCAUUCCCCAGUCUGGGCAUGGCAGCAGAAGAAGUAGCCAGACCACUGCUCCCAUCACCGGCCACAGAGAGGCAGGAGUCACAGCCAGUAACAUCUUUGAUGUUAUUUUUCAUCUGACGCACUCUGACACUGACCGGAAACACCACCAGGAGUUCAGCAGUGAGGAUGAUGUUUCACUGAAUGACAUCAUGGACAUGAAGUUAACCCCACCAGUGGAGCCCCUGGGGCAGAUCCUGUCCUCAUGGAAGCUGGUCAACAGGAUCUUCAGGGGGAAGGUCCACUACUUUGGGAAGGAGCUCAUCUGCAAGGUGUAUCAGAUGCUUCUGGACACCGGUAUGGGCAGGAGGCCAAUGGCCCGCCAGAGCAGGUCCGAGCCCAUCCUGAAAGACCUGGCUGCCAAACGUAGGCUCUCCGAUGAAUUCUUCACAGACGUGCUGUACAUGUUCAUCCAACGGGCCAUUAAGAAUCUGCUGGAGAACUUCUUGGGUCUGCCGACCACCCCACCGGGUAGAGACAUUAUGUGGAAUGACAACUUCAACUGGAUGUAUAGGGACGGCUGGGGGGACACCCCCACAUCCAGCAAGGACGAGUUGUGGGACAGCGACUCCACCUGGUCAAGUGAGCUUGGAGAGGAGGAGGGGGCAGAGUCCCGUGGGAGGUGGGCCGCUCUGUUGGAGAAGGGCAGCUUCCUGACCCUCCAGUCCCCCAGCUCCCUCUCCGAUGACAACAAGGAGGCACUAGGGGCCGUCUACCAGGUCCUGACCACCAGGGUGGGAGACAUCCUGAACAGUACCUGCAACGACGAUUACAAGGCCAGGCUCAUCAUCCAGAAAGGAUUGGAUUCCGGUGCCAGGGAAAGGUUCCCUGACUCUCCGUGUUCCUCUUCACCCAAGGACGAAGAGGAGGUGGUUGUGAGUGGCAUGACUGUCUCAUACCCUAAACCCUCCACCUCAACCCAGGCAGCAUGGGCAGCUCCUGCCCAGACUCUGGACGUUUUUCUGCCCAGACCCUGCCUGGAUGAAGAAGAGGUAGUCCCCAGCACCUCCAUGAAGGACGACUCUGUGACGACCACCCAUGCAGCACGGGCAGCUCCUUACCAGACCCUGGAAGAAGAGGUGGGGGGAGCUGAGGUCUCCGAGAUGAGUGACAGCUCCCUGAUGCCCACCAAGAACAGGCAGGACCCCCUGCAGAAUAUUCCCUCCCUCCUACCAGGCAAGGAGGACAUCCUCCUUCGGUCCACUCCCUGGACCACCGUCAUGAGCCCCCAGACCCUGAAGUUUAUUCUCCACGGCAUCAUGUGCCAACUGGAGGCCUCAGAGUCCCCCCAGACAAGGAGGGCCAAUGACCCCUUCAGGCUGAUGAAGGAUCUCUUUGUGGAGGUCCAGCAUGCCCUGAAGUAUGCUGACAUCUCUGUCGUCUUUGGCCUGGAGGAGAGCAUCCAAUUCAGUGGGGAGGAUGCGGUGAAGGCCAUCGUGAAGACUGCGGCUAAAAGAUUGUCCCUGCGUUCGGACGCCAACCGGGCUCAACUGUGUGCCGCACGCUCUGGUAGUGAGGGAGCCAUCGGGUGCAUGGCGGACACCAUCACACAAGUCAUAGAUGACUAUUCCGAGGACUGGAGUUCCGACGGCCAUUUUGGAGCCAGGAGGAGCCAUGCUAGUGGGAGAUCAUACUCCUCAACCUCCUCAAGGAGUGACGUCACCCUCACCGAGGAGCUCCUGGCUUGGAAGGAAACCCUAGAAGGGGACCUAGAGGAGAUGGCUGAUGACAUCACUGGUUUGGAAAAGACCAGUGUAAGCUCAGCCAUCUCUGAGAAGUCCCAGGUAAUUAGCUACCUUUCUGAAAGCACCAAGCCCAUCAGCAGCGCCCUCUCCACAGACCUCGAGGACAUCACCUCCACACAGGUGAGACAGACAAGAACCAGUAGAUCGUUUAGUUAUUUGGCCUGUUUGAUUGUGAGGCAUCGACUCAUAUCUGUUUCUCUCUCUACUAAGAAGAAAGAGAAGGAAGAGGCUAUGGAGAAAGAAGUGAGGAAGUCAGGGAAGAAGAAGCGAGGAAAUAACAAGGAUCAGAAGAAGAACAAGGUGUCUCCUCUUGGCAAUGAUAGUAAGUCCUCAUUUCUGUCAGUCAACAUGUGCAUCUGUCUUCAGCACACUAUUGUAAUGUAAGGACGGGAGACUAUGAUGAAGUUAUCAGGGUCUUAUUCAUUAGCCACUAAAUGGAAGACAAUGGACUAAAACAGGGAGGAACUUUCUUGAACUUGCCAAUAACAAAUGCUUGUUUUUGUUUUCCGUUUCAAAAUAUUUUGCUACUGUGUACCCUAAUGAACACGACCCUGAUUUCAUGCCCUGUUCUCUGUCACCUGUUCAGGUACUGUUGCUGCAGAUGAGCCUAAGAAAAAACAGGCUCUCCUCCCGCGAAUCACAGCCGCCCUGGCAAAACUAUUUUGCUUCCCCUGCAAAAAAAAAAUCAAAAAGUAACUGUGCAUAAGACGACUUUGGGAAACCCUGCGGCCACCUCCCCAACCCAUUUUCGAAAAAAAACUGUCAAAGCCAACAGAAGAGGGACUCACAACUCACUACCCUACUCACAACUCAUUUUAUUACGCCCCAUUUAAUUCAAUAAACGCA